UACGUAGGUGGCAAGCGUUGUCCGGAAUUAUUGGGCGUAAAGCGCGCGCAGGCGGUCCUUUAAGUCUGAUGUGAAAGCCCCCGGCUCAACUGGGGAGUGUCGUGCGAUACGGGCGGACUGGAGGCCAGUAGGGGGAUGCGGAAUUCCGGGUGUAGUGGUGGAAUGCGUAGAGAUCCGGAGGAACACCAGCGGCGAAGGCGGCAUCCUGGACUGGUCCUGACACUCAUGAGCGAAAGCGUGGGGAGCGAUCCGG
rnacentral:rRNA from 1 species